rnacentral:tRNA from 1 species
UUCCUUACGCUUCUGAAGGAUAACAGUUCAUCCAUUGGUCUUAGGAACCAAAAACUCUUGGUGCAAAUCCAAGUGGAAGCU